AGACAAAACCCCAACCAUUGAAAAGCUUUCCUGCUCAGAUUUGGUUUUUAAGAUCAGAUCUGAGCAGGUAUUAGUCUGUUCAUUAAUUUAUAGUCUUUGAUUUGGGGUUCUAAUAUUACUUUGAUGAUUUGGGGUUCUAAUCUUAUAUUUUAAAGUUAUAUCUUUAGAUCUAGGUUUUUAUUUGGGUUUUUAUGGGAUUUCUUUUCAUCCUCAAUUUAAGGGUGCUGUGUUUUUCUUUUUCAUCUUUGUUUGCCUUCGUUUCAUUAUCAUAUUCAGUCAAAACCUUGUAUAAAUCUAUCCUAACCCUUUUAGAGCGGUUUCAAUGCUGGUUGAUCGUUGUGAGGUAUGAAGAUGGUGGUGCAGAUUAUGGUGAAGAAGUCUUGCAGCUUCAAUCAAGAAAAUAGAAGAUA